rnacentral:misc_RNA from 1 species
AAGGAUCAUUAACGUGCUUUUUUCUUUGCAAAAAGAAAAAAUCAAACUAUAUAAACCGACCGUGAACUUCAAAAACCCUUACGUUUUUACAAGCAUGACAUAUUUACUUUACAGUGAAUGUGUUAUGCGCCCCCACUACAUUCACCCAAAACCAAAUAAUAUUAACCCAUUCAAACUAAAAAACUUAACGAAAGUUGACAAAAUAAAACUGACGACUUUCAACGGUGGAUCUCUAGGCUCGU